UGGGCCUUGCCGGCUUUGGGCCCAGAGGCUGGAGGCUGGGCUCCCUCUUUCUUCCCUUCCUCCUUUCCUCUUUCCCUCCUUCCUUUCUUCCUUGCUUCUCCCUCCUCCCCUCCCUGCCUCCCUCCUCCCAUCUCUGUCUCCCUCUUCCCCUCCCUGCUUCCCUCCUCCCCACCUUCCCUCCCUCUUCCCCUCCUUCCCUCCCUCUUCCCCUCCUUCCCUCCCUCUUCCCCUCCUUCCCUCCCUCUUCCCCUCCUUCCCUCCCUCCUCAAGCACAACACAUCCACAUCGGCCCCCAGCCCAGCGCAGCUUUAAGAGACCCACUUACCUCAGAGGAACCCAAUCAAUCCCCACAAACACCUCUCUAGAAUAGGAAGAUGGAGAUACAGAGACAGUCCCACUCUAUCGCCAGGGUAGAGUGCAGUGGUGCAAUCAUGGCCCUCUGCAGCCUCCAACUCCUGGGCUCAAGCUAUUGUCCUAUCACAGCCUCUCAAGUAGCUUGGACUGCAGGAAUAAAGCUGAAGACACUGAAAAUCAACAACUUUUCUGGGACCCUUCGGACAACUGCAGUCACAAGGUAAACUACCAUUUUUAAAUAUGGAGACAGAGGAAUACAGAGUACAACUGACAUCAGCUUACCUGGAGCAGGAACCACGGAACUAAAAAGUGGAUGGAUCACCUGAAUGGCUAACUAAUUGGAAGUUCACAGACUGUUCAUAUCCUCUCACAAUAUUCAAACUGGUGAAAUCUUCAUACUGACAAACCAUCAUAAUUGUUUAG